rnacentral:tRNA from 1 species
GCGCCCGUAGCUCAAUUGGAUAGAGCUUUUGACUACGGAUCAAAAGGUUAGGGGUUCGACUCCUCUCGGGCGCGCCA